rnacentral:rRNA from 1 species
CCUACGAGUGGCAGCAGUGAGGAAUAUUGGUCAAUGGGCGUAAGCCUGAACCAGCCAAGUCGCGUGAGGGAUGAAGGUUCUAUGGAUCGUAAACCUCUUUUAUAAGGGAAUAAAGUGUGGGACGUGUCCUAUUUUGUAUGUACCUUAUGAAUAAGGAUCGGCUAACUCCGUGCCAGCAGCCGCGGUAAUACGGAGGAUGCGAGCGUUAUCCGGAUUUAUUGGGUUUAAAGGGUGCGUAGGCGGGCUGUUAAGUCAGCGGUCAAAUGUCGGGGCUCAACCCCGGCCUGCCGUUGAAACUGGCGGCGUCGAGUGGGCGAGAAGUAUGCGGAAUGCGUGGUGUAGCGGUGAAAUGCAUAGAUAUCACGCAGAACUCCGAUUGCGAAGGCAGCAUACCGGCGCCCGACUGACGCUGAGGCACGAAAGCGUGGGUAUCGAACAGGAUUAGAUACCCGAGUAGUC